CUCGGGAGGUUAAUUCAGUUACACUCCAUCCCUUUCUCUCUUGUUUGUUUGGAGUACCUGUUCGGGUGGGUCCUGUCAGUGUCAGCAGCUGAAACUAGGGGUACAGAACGUGAAAGGGUUUCUCCAGUUGAAUCUGCUCCUCCUCCUCUUUAAUGUUGACCACAUCCUGGUAUGGACCAUGUGCCUGGGAGCGUUCAAUCUGAUCAUAUGUGGAGCAACAAUCGUCCAGAUUUAGCCCCUGGGGUAUGAGUUCAUUUAGUCUCUUUGACUGUGAGGGGGAAGCAGACGUUGGUAAAGCUGUGAAAUGGUGCAACUUCUCAUGGAGGAAAGGCAAGAAACAUAAAAAAUAUCCAUUUGAGAAACGUAUUGCUGUGGAGUCAAAGCACAGCUGUCUUACAGAUUGCAAUAACUUCUAUUGUGUUGACAUGAAUGAUAUGCCAUUUUAAGACAUUUUUGUAAAUUGCUGCAACAUCAAUGCUAUGAGUCAGGGGGCGUUGACAGAUCAAUGUAUGGUAAUUUACAGUCAGUCAUAAUAAAGUGACUUCUGACCUG